rnacentral:rRNA from 1 species
GAUGAACGCUGGCGGCGUGCCUAAUACAUACAAGUCGAGCGAAUGGAUUAAGAGCUUGCUCUUAUGAAGUUAGCGGCGGACGGGUGAGUAACACGUGGGUAACCUGCCCAUAAGACUGGGAUAACUCCGGGAAACCGGGGCUAAUACCGGAUAAUAUUUUGAACUGCAUGGUUCAAAAUUGAAAGGCGGCUUCGGCUGUCACUUAUGGAUGGACCCGCGUCGCAUUAGCUAGUUGGUGAGGUAACGGCUCACCAAGGCAACGAUGCGUAGCCGGACUGGGAGGGUGAGCGGCCACACUGGGACUGAGACACGGCCCAGACUCCGACGGGAGGCAGCAGUAGGGAAUCUUCCGCAAUGGACGAAAGUCUGACGGAGCAACGCCGCGUGAGUGAUGAAGGCUUUCGGGUCGUAAAACUCUGUUGUUAGGGAAGAACAAGUGCUAGUUGAAUAAGCUGGCACCUUGACGGUACCUAACCAGAAAGCCACGGCUAACUACGUGCCAGCCGCCGCGGUAA